rnacentral:rRNA from 1 species
AUUGAACGCUAGCGGGAUGCUUUACACAUGCAAGUCGAACGGCAGCGCGGACUUCGGUCUGGCGGCGAGUGGCGAACGGGUGAGUAAUGUAUCGGAACGUGCCCAGUAGCGGGGGAUAACUACGCGAAAGCGUAGCUAAUACCGCAUACGCCCUACGGGGGAAAGCAGGGGAUCGUAAGACCUUGCACUAUUGGAGCGGCCGAUAUCGGAUUAGCUAGUUGGUGAGGUAACGGCUCACCAAGGCGAGGAUCCGUAGCUGGUUUGAGAGGACGACCAGCCACACUGGGCCUGAGACACGGCCCAGCCUCCUACGGGAGGCGGCGGUGGGGAAUUUUGACAAAUGGGGGCAACCCUGAUCCAGCCAUCCCGCGUGUGCGAUGAAGGCCUUCGGGUUGUAAAGCACUUUUGGCGGGAAAGAAACGUCGCGGGCUAAUACCCCGUGGAACUGACGGUACCUGCAGAAUAGCACCGGCUAACUACGUG